UUUAUCUGAUUCUCUGACUCAGAAAACUUUUAUCAUUCUGUGGCAGAAAUUAUGUUGUUCAAUAUAUUAUAGAGCUGAAGAUCCCUUCUUUCACUGCCAACUUGCUCAGUUCAAAGGCCGCUAUGUUCACCUAUCAAAGCAAAAAUUUAGCAGUCAUGUUGUGGAAAAAUGCCUCAAGCAUUUUGGAGAGAGUCGAUCAGAAAUUGUCCAUGAAUUGCUGUCUGUGCCUCAUUUUGAACAGUUGCUGCUAGAUCCAUUUGCCAAUUAUAUUAUUCUGACAGUUACCAAGGGUCCCCUUCAUGCUGCACUGCUUGAAGCUGCUCGACCCCACUCUUUCUUACGAACUAGUCCAUAUUGUACGCGGAUUUUCUCUGGAAAUCUGUCAAAGAAGUGAUGUAAAUUCGGGUGUGGUGGCAAGUGUUGUUGCUCUCCCAAACUUACUAACCUGUUCACUAUUCAGAAGUUUUACUAUUUCUUGGGGCACUGGAUGUUGAACAGCCUUCAAAAUUUGAAGUGGGUCCUCAAGAGAACCUUUGAAACUUAGUACCUACGGAUGAUCUCUCCAUGAUUUUGAAGAACGUAAACUGGAAGUUUUUGCUGCUGGUUGUUUAUUUUGCCUAUGCAACUUGUAUGUACUGUUCUGUUGUCUUCUUGGUGUUGUUGUUGUCCUGUUGAUCUGAACUGUUAAUGUAUAAUGUUUCACCCUUUUUACUUUUAAUCUGGGUAAAUGCCAUGCGGUUGUUUAUUUCCUCUUCAAUUCUGAGAUGAUUUU